AUGUAUUACUGUGGCAGUUUAACCUACGCGAAGGUUUUCGGAAAAGGAGCGUUUUUAUCAGUCAAAGGUAAACCAAAUUUAAGUGUUUCAGUGUUCCAGAGCAGUGUGUCAGACUCGGUUCCUGCAGGAGCAUCAGUGACUCUGCAGUGUUCGGUUCUCUCUGAGAGCAGAGCAGCAGAACUCCAAGUGCUCUGGUUCAGAGCUGCUCCAUCACAAUCCCAUCCUCAACUCAUUUACACUCAUCACAACAGCAGCCUUCAGUGUGAGAGCGAAUCUUCUACACACACCUGUGUGUACAACUUGUCCAAGAACAUCUUCAGCCUCAAUGAUACUGGAACUUACUACUGCGCUGUGGCCCUGUGUGGGAAGAUCAUUUUCGGGAACGGAACAUGA